GAUGAAGAACGCAGCGAAAUGCGAUAAGUAGUGUGAAUUGCAGAAUUCAGUGAAUCAUCGAAUCUUUGAACGCACAUUGCGCCCUUUGGUAUUCCUUAGGGCAUGCCUGUUCGAGCGUCAUUUAAACCUUCAAGCUCAGCUUGGUGAUGGGCGACUGUCCCCCCCCCUCGCGGGGGGGACUCGCCUCAAAAACAUUGGCGGCCGGUACAUUGGCUUCGAGCGCAGCAGAAACGCGGUCUCGAGCCCGGUGGAUCGGCUCCCAUAAGCCUAUUCUUUUAUUUUGACCUCGUAUCAGGUAGGGAUACCCGCUGAACUUAAGCAUAUCAAUAAGCGGAGGA
rnacentral:misc_RNA from 1 species